CCCUUAGAUGUUCUGGGUCGCACGCGUGCUACACUGAGUAAAUCAAUGGGUAAGGGAACACGAAAGUGCAACCUAAUCUUGAAAUUUGCUCGUGAUGGGGAUCGACGGUUGCAAUUUUCCGUCGUGAACGAGGAAUACCUUGUAGGCGCGUGUCAUCAUCACGCGCCGAAUACGUCCCUGCCCUUUGUACACACCGCCCGUCGCUCCUACCGAUUGAGUGAUCCGGUGAGGCUCUGGGACCUGGACGGAAAGAGCGUUUCGCUUGUUCUGUUUGGGAAACUUGGUCGAACCUUAUCAUUUAGAGGAAGGAGAAGUCGUAACA
rnacentral:rRNA from 1 species